rnacentral:rRNA from 1 species
AAUAUUGGACAAUGGGCGCAAGCCUGAUCCAGCAAUGCCGCGUGUGUGAAGAAGGCCUUCGGGUUGUAAAGCACUUUAAGUUGGGAGGAAAAGCUGAGUGUUAAUAGCAUUUAGUGUUGACGUUACCAACAGAAUAAGCACCGGCUAACUCCGUGCCAGCAGCCGCGGUAAUACGGAGGGUGCAAGCGUUAAUCGGAAUUACUGGGCGUAAAGCGCGCGUAGGCGGUUAUUUAAGUCAGAUGUGAAAGCCCCGGGCUUAACCUGGGAAUGGCAUUUGAGACUGGAUGGCUAGAGUAUGGUAGAGGUGAGUGGAAUUUCAGGUGUAGCGGUGAAAUGCGUAGAGAUCUGAAGGAACAUCAGUGGCGAAGGCGACUCACUGGGCCAUUACUGACGCUGAGGUGCGAAAGCGUGGGUAGCAAACAGG